AAAAAUUGCAUGGCAUGAAUAAAAUCCAGCUUUUGCAAAAUAAGCUGGGCAUGUCGCAAUUUCAAGUCAAUGUCUUCUAAUUCAAGCUAAGCUAACAAUUGGAGACAAACUUUUCGUGUUAAAAUUGUUGAGUGGCUUAAUUUGGAGGUGAUUAAUUUAUUGAUAUCUCAAAACAUGCAUAAGCAUGUCUUUUUAUAAGUCAUUUUCAUAGUUAAGCAAAAAUAAUAUGAUGCG
rnacentral:lncRNA from 1 species